rnacentral:rRNA from 1 species
UACGGAGGGUGCAAGCGUUGUCCGGAAUCACUGGGCGUAAAGGGCGCGUAGGCGGCUCAUGAAGGCUGUGGUGAAAGUCCGGGGCUCAACCUCGGAUCGGCCGUGGCGACUCGUGGGCUGGAGCACUGUAGAGGCGGGUGGAAUUCCGGGUGUAGCGGUGAAAUGCGCAGAUAUCGGGAGGAACACCGGUGGCGAAGGCGGUUUUCUGGGCCUUACCUGACGCUGAGGAGCGAAAGCGUGGGGAGCGAACAGGA